rnacentral:rRNA from 1 species
UGCCAGCCGCCGCGGUAAGACGGAGGGUGCAAACGUUAUUCGGAAUUAUUGGGCUUAAAGGGUGCGUAGGCGGUGCGGUAAGUGAGGUGUGAAAGCUCGGGGCUCAACCCCGGAAGUGCACUUGAAACAGCAAGACUUGAAUACGGUAGAGGAGAGAGGAAUUCCUGGUGUAGAGGUGAAAUUCGUAGAUAUCAGGAGGAACACCGAUGGCGAAGGCAUCUCUCUGGGCCGAUAUUGACGCUGAGGCGCGAAGGCGUGGGUAGCGAACGGGAUUAGAUA